AAUAAAGUCUCUUUUCCAUGGAACUUCUGUGACUUUCAGGAAGUGAGAAGUAGAAUUGAUGGAGGAAGGACAUUGGUUAAUUAUAAUAAAGAAACUGCCUUGGCCCAUUGUAUUGGAUAGAAAAUUAGGUAGGCGGAGUAUACAGAAGAGAAUUCUGGGAGAAAGAAGCUGAGUCGAGGAGUCGCCAUGAUUCUCCCACUCCAGACAGACGCAGGUUAAGAUCCUCUCUGACAGGAUUUCACAAUGCAGCCCUUGCUGGCCAGAACCCUGCCAUGUAGACCAGUCUAUCCUUGAACUCAACGGUCCUACUGUGCAGCCCAGGCCAGUCUUACUGUGUCAUCCAAGCUAGGUCAAGUUCACAGUCCUCCUGCCUGGACUGCCCAGGUGCUGGCAUUAGAGUGGCCAUCAUUUCCUGGGGAAUCAUGACUGUCCUGUCUGCUCUACUGGGGACUCAUGACUGUCCUGUCUGCUCUACUGGGGACUCAUGACUGUCCUGUCUGCUCUACUGGGGAAUCAUGGCUGUCCUGUCUGCUCUACUGCAAUCAACGAGGUCACCAUGGAAAGCUGAUGACUGUCACCUUCUCAGACAUCCUGCCAUCUCCUCCCUGUCCUUACCUCUAAGGACACAUGGCUGUCUGCACAGAAGAGAGGUGCCAGGGAUGCAGUUGGAGGGACAUGCCACACUGUCAAAGCAUUUCUUCUUUGGGUUUCUAGACUCAGGUCUAUGUUUUAUAAAACUAAAGACAUGGUGCCUUUGGUUCUCUCUUCCAGUCUGAUGGGAAAUUGAAGAAGGAAGGGGGAGGGAGCAGAUUGUUCAAGUUAGGAGCCAACAGCACAGUUUAAACUACUUUAGAAAUAAAAAGGAGACAUUGAAAACUUCCACUUUUGCCUGCCUACCGUAGCAUAAAACCACAGCCAUUAGUUCAGAAAUGAGCAGGGGUAGAAAUAAAAUAUUAAUGGAGCUGCCAGGAGAGCGAAGAGACCGCAGCUCGCUACCACCAUCUUGUAAGAUCUUCAGAUCUGCUUGAAGAGACUGCAGCUCGCAACCAGCUUGUAUGGCACAGACUUUAAGAGCUUCAGAUCUGCUUGGGAGACAGACGAACUGAAUAAACACAUUUCAAAAUCAUCACUUCAGAGGAAAAGGGCCUAUUUUGGUCCAUAGUCCCACAUGGUGGAGAACGCCGCUGGAGCUGGAGGCAGCUGGUCACAUUGCGUCUGCCAUCGAGAAGCUGAGGGAAAUGAGUGUACAUGCUCAGAUAUCCAGCCCAGGCAAUCCUGCCACCCAAUUUUAAGGAAAAAAAUGUACUCAAUUUCUCUGCUUGGAAGUCUACACAAAAUAACCGUUCUGUGACUGUUGGUGCAACCAUGCCAUGACUGUUAUGGGGCAGUCUGCUGCUUUCUAAUUGGAUUGAUGGUUCAUUCCUCAGGAGGGAAUUCACACCAGAUACUGUAAACCUGACCAGAAGAUAGUUCCAUGCUUUUUGACCAGAAACUAUGAGAUAAAAUAUUUGUGAUAUCAUGGGAAACCAGCACAAACCUAGCUGCUGAAUUAGACUAAAGAUACCAUUAACUGAUGCUAUACACUGCCCAUUGUGAAGACCCUGAAAUACUGAUGCUGUAAGCCACCCAUCGCGAAGACUCUGAAAUACUGAUUCUCAGUGUUCAGUGUUCUGUGAAGACAUCAGAGUUCCUGCACGUGUUGUGACAAUGAAAACAUCUAAUAGCAUCUUUGGAUCAAGUCAUACUAGUGCCCUUCAAGUCACCUAGUUACGGUGACAAAUGGAACAGCUAGGGACAACGUGUUGAGAAGUGACCUGGGAGUCCUUGAUGCAGAGAUCAUGAAGACAAAAGGCGGUUCUUAGGUGUCAAGCGAUUCCACAUUGACUCUUGUCACGGGGGAAACAAUUUAGCCUCUGCCUGUGAAGAUGCUCCUCCACAUAUGACGGGUUAUGUCCCAACCAACCCCCUGGAAGUAGAGAUGCUUGGCCUUCCAAAUGGUAACUUAGCAACAGACGACGUUAUGCAGUGUUGGAGCUCUCCUGUCACAACUGCGACCCUGAGGUUCACAGCUCCAGCCUAAUCCUGAGUCAGGAGUUUGUGACAUGCCACUAGGAAAACAUCAAACUCUAGAAGUGACUGCAGAAAAUGUGGAGGCUAUGAUAGAAAUCGACCUCCAAGAUCCUACACCUCCUGCUGCUGCAUGGACAGUCUGGAGCCAAGCGCUUCCCGUGGGUGUUUCAGGAGAGCGGCAUGUGCUAAGACACAUCCAGGUUCAGAGGUUUCUUCUCAUGAUGAGUUCAAAUCCCAUCAAACUGGCAAUGAAGAUCAAACUGGCCUUGAAGAUUAAACCCCACGAAGUCCCUGGCUGGUGAAACACAGGGUCUGUACUGAAGAACUAUGAACGGCUCCUGCUACUCUGAUUCCACAAUGAACCAAGAGAGAUCCCAUUUGUUCCUAAACCUGUUUCUGCUUGCCAGGCCCAAUUUUUAAAUCACAUAUUUUACUUAUACAUCAUGGAAGCCUGUGAAGACAGAAUUUAUUAUUGAGAAAAAACCUGGCAAAUGUAGUCUGCAUGCAUUGAAAUGAGCUAAAGAUUGGAAGAAGAAGAAAAACUAUAACACUGGCAAACUUGAUCUUAAAAGCAAUUCAGCACAGAGAAUCCUACAGAGGAUGCUGGCGUACUUGCGUCUGUGGAAGAAGCCCUGCAUCAUCUCCCCCACUGAAGCCCUGCAUCAUCUCCCCCUGCAGCUGAAGGAGAAGAGCAGGUACUUUUAUUUGCCUUUCCCUAGAGGGACGGGGGCUUCCGCUGAUCCACAUUGUCAGUCAUAGUACAUAAACGUGCUUAUAAAACAUGGGGAG